AUGAUCUCUGUCCUUCAUUUAGCAUGUAACGAGCAGCUACCACAUGCUGAGAACUGUGCCGGUAGAGAUCGGUGUUCCUCUCAGGAGGGCGCUUCUGGUGCUAGACGCAAAAUUGGACACUGUGGGAUCACUGACAUGUCUGUAAUGAUAGGGAAAUACCAUCCUAACAGAUCCAGGGAUCUAGUUGGAAACGUGGAUGGCCCCCAAACAUGCAGUUCCCUCUGACUAUGGGGAAGGUUGGGAAUGACUUGCUGCCUCGGUGACUGAAAGCCUGGGGCUCCGGGACAUGCAGCGCCUUACGCCAAGCAGGAUUUCUCAGACCGUGUUUUGUGGGAUAUGAGUUUCAGGAGAAAUUCACAGGUAUGCUACAAAGAGAAACUUUUUAAAAAAUUGAAUGAGUAUGGAAAACAUGACAUAAUAAAUCCCCCCUAGGAAAUCCCCAACCCUCAAAUUAGUAUAAUAAAGGCUUGAUAUCCUUCAGUAAAGAAACUCAUUGAUUUUAGUUCAGCUUAAUAGUAAUUCCAGGUGGGAAAUAGAUUUUUUCCUAUGGAAUGAUGGUCCACAGCACAGUAGCUUAGAAAAUGCACGCCCAAACUCAUGAAUAGAAGUGGUGAGAUUUCAGACGACUCCAAACAGCAGAGAGAAAAAAUGUCUUGAACUGGGGAGGGUUGGUGAUAUGGUUUGGGUCCGUGUCACAGCCCAAAUCUCAUGUCAACUUGUAAUCCCCAGUGUUGGAGGUGGGACCAGGUGGCAGGUGACGGGAUCAGGGGGAUGGAUUUCCCCUUUGGUGCUAUUCUCCUGAGAGUGAGUUACUGCUAGAUGUGGUUGUUUAAAAGUGUGUAGCACCUCCCACCUCCCACCUUUCUCUCUUCCUCCUGCUCCAGGCAUGGACGAUGUGCCCGCUUCCCCUUCAUCUUCCGCCAUGAUUGAAAGUUUCCCGAGGCCUCCAAGCGUCAUGCUUCUUGCACAGCCUGCAGAACCGUGAGCCAAUUAAACUUUUUUUCUUUCUAAAUUAUCAAAAUUUUGUAUUUCUUUAUAGCAGUGUGAGAAUGGCCUAAUACAGUUGGUUUAGAGGAGAGGA
rnacentral:lncRNA from 1 species